rnacentral:rRNA from 1 species
CCUACGGGGGGCUGCAGUGGGGAAUAUUGGACAAUGGGGGGAACCCUGAUCCAGCCAUGCCGCGUGUGUGAAGAAGGCCCUCGGGUUGUAAAGCACUUUCAGUGAGGAAGAACGCCUGGUGGUUAAUACCCAUCAGGAAAGACAUCACUCACAGAAGAAGCACCGGCUAACUCCGUGCCAGCAGCCGCGGUAAUACGGAGGGUGCGAGCGUUAAUCGGAAUUACUGGGCGUAAAGCGCGCGUAGGUGGCUUGAUAAGCCGGUUGUGAAAGCCCCGGGCUCAACCUGGGAACGGCAUCCGGAACUGUCAAGCUAGAGUGCAGGAGAGGAAGGUAGAAUUCCCGGUGUAGCGGUGAAAUGCGUAGAGAUCGGGAGGAAUAACAGUGGCGAAGGCGGCCUUCUGGACUGACACUGACACUGAGGUGCGAAAUCGUGGGUAGCAAACAGGAUUAGAUACCCGGGUAGUC